rnacentral:rRNA from 1 species
UACGUAGGUGGCAAGCGUUGUCCGGAAUUAUUGGGCGUAAAGCGCGCGCAGGUGGUUCCUUAAGUCUGAUGUGAAAGCCCACGGCUCAACCGUGGAGGGUCAUUGGAAACUGGGGAACUUGAGUGCAGGAGAGAAGAGUGGAAUUCCACGUGUAGCGGUGAAAUGCGUAGAGAUGUGGAGGAACACCAGUGGCGAAGGCGACUCUUUGGCCUGUAACUGACACUGAGGCGCGAAAGCGCGGGGAGCAAACAGG